AUACAGAGGUCUCAAGCGUUGUUCGGAAUCACUGGGCGUAAAGGGUGCGUAGGUGGCGAGGUAAGUCAGAUGUGAAAGCCCGGGGCUCAACCUCGGAAUUGCAUCCGAUACUGCCCUGCUUGAGUACUGAAGGGGUGACUAGAAUUCUCGGUGUAGCAGUGAAAUGCGUAGAUAUCGAGAGGAAUACCAAAGGCGUAGGCAGGUCACUGGGCAGUUACUGACACUGAGGCACGAAGGCCAGGGGAGC
rnacentral:rRNA from 1 species